CCUACGGGAGGCUGCAGUAGGGAAUAUUGCUCAAUGGGGGAAACCCUGAAGCAGCAACGCCGCGUGGAGGAUGAAGGUUUUAGGAUUGUAAACUCCUUUUGUUAGAGAAGAUUAUGACGGUAUCUAACGAAUAAGCACCGGCUAACUCCGUGCCAGCAGCCGCGGUAAUACGGAGGGUGCAAGCGUUACUCGGAAUCACUGGGCGUAAAGAGUGCGUAGGCGGGGUAAUAAGUCAGAUGUGAAAUCCUGUAGCUUAACUACAGAACUGCAUUUGAAACUGUUACUCUGGAGUGUGUGAGAGGGAGGUGGAAUUCUUGGUGUAGGGGUGAAAUGCGUAGAGAUGAAGAGGAAUACUGAUUGCGAAGGCGACCUGCUGGAACAUUACUGACGCUGAUGCACGAAAGCGUGGGGAGCAAACAGGAUUAGAUACCCUUGUAGUC
rnacentral:rRNA from 1 species